AACCGGAAAGACAGAAUGAUUUACUAGAUAGAUAUAUAUGAACGUGGCAACAUUGAGCUGAAGAUAACGGGAUCUCGAUAUCUAUAAAUGAGUACAAAAUCAGUUAAAGCAGUGCCAACUUUUCUUUAGGCUACCACCACAUACCACACCUAUCAAUUAUUUACAUGCUUUUUUCCUCAUAUAAAUAUCUCUAUAAUAAAAUUUGAUAUAUAUAACAUAUAUUUCUUCUCUUCUCAUCUUCUCUAUGGCUAGCUUGAGCUUCAUCAUUGGAAUUAUCGGAAAUGUGAUUUCUAUACUUAUGUUCGCCUCUCCAAUGUAAGUAUGGAAUUUAUAUUUUUUAAUAGCAAAACCACCCAUAAAACUCAGUAUUUAAGAGUCGUUGUUAAAUAUAAAUAUAUAGCAAGACCAAUUUAAUUUUGCUAUUAUUAAAAAUAUGGGGAACUUUUUGAAUACUCGAAAUAAUACAGGGUUCCUUUUGUAAUCCACCCAAGAUUCUUUGUUGAUUUUAUUAAAGUAACUUUCUCGCUGUGUUCUUUGCACGAAAUUCCAUUUUUGCCCUCCGAUAAUUAACGCCGUUAACUAUAGGAAUAAGAGGCCGAGUUCGGUGAUGAGUAAAAUAGGGAGGAAUUUUAUGAGAGAGGAUAAUAUUUGUGGCUUCACAUUUAAUUAGCAAAGAAAAAAGAAAAUGAGAACCAAAAGCAAGUGAGUUUUCUUGUUA